UUCCUAUGGGGGGCAGCAGUGGGGGAUAUUGCACAAUGGGGGGAACCCUGAUGCAGCGACGCCGCGUGGGUGAAGAAGCGCCUCGGCGCGUAAAGCCCUGUCAGCAGGGAAGAAAAUGACGGUACCUGAAGAAGAAGCCCCGGCUAACUACGUGCCAGCAGCCGCGGUAAUACGUAGGGGGCAAGCGUUAUCCGGAUUUACUGGGUGUAAAGGGAGCGUAGACGGCAGGGCAAGUCUGGAGUGAAAGCCCGGGGCCCAACCCCGGGACCGCUUUGGAAACUGCCAUGCUAGAGUGCUGGAGAGGG
rnacentral:rRNA from 1 species